GCCUUGCUGGAGGAAAUGUGUCACUGGGGGCAGGCUUUGAGGUCUCAGAAGCUUAAGCCAGGUCCAGUGUGGCUCUCUCUUCCUGAUGCCUGCAGAACCU
rnacentral:miRNA from 1 species